CUUCACCGAGCCCAGCCACAGGGUCUGUCCCGACGGCUGUUCCCGGCCGUAGGUGGCGAGCAGUGCCUGUGCCUC
rnacentral:antisense_RNA from 1 species